rnacentral:lncRNA from 1 species
UACGCUCAAUAAUACGCUCAAGAUAAACCUGGGUUCUUCUGUUACUCUGUGGUUCCAAAAGGCAUGAUGAGAAGAAGAUACACUUCUAUGAUAAAAUGAAGGAUUGAGCAUUCUGAUUCCAGGGUAAGAAGCCAUUAUUCCUCCCGCCUUUCACUGGAAAGAUGCAGUCAGUCAGUCAACAUCCACAAGAACCCUGCUACAGUCUUUGGGAUGGCUCAAGUGACCAGAGGGCUCUGGAAAGUCAUCUCUGUGCCACAAACUGGGCCAGGUUUCACUCAAUUCAAAGGUUCUGAAUCUAGACCCAGUGAAGGACUUAACAGUGUGUGGAGGUGGCCUGUGGACCAGCCAAACAAAGUGCCAAGAUCGUACCACAAGAUAAGCUGCCCUCCCUCUGUAAGCAAGUAAGGGCCCAAAGGCCAUCAAUUGAGUUACGGUGUGACUGUAAGAUAAUCGGUAGAAGAAAGAUUAUGGAAUAGUACACGAAAAUUCCUCACUAUUCUUACAACAACAACAAUUAUUUAAAUAAUAAGGUGAGGAAGUUCCUUUUGAAUACCUGGGGAAUUGUAACUAUAAAUUAAAGUUAAGUGAUGCUUAUUAAGGCUUUCAGGAUAGGUGCUUUAAAAUGUAAAUAGUUUAGGGCAAAACAAUCUCAUCCAUCUGGGGCCUUCAACUCUUUAGAACAGGUGUGAGAACCCUAAAGACAGAGGGACCAGAGAGUCUGCUUACUUUACCCACAAUUGUAACAGGUUAGUUAUAUAGUUUUCUAUAGCUGCCAAGGAGGUUGGGGGAGGGGGAAAAGGGGAGAAGGAAAGCAAAUGACAGUAAGAAAAAGGUAUCGCUGACAAUGAAGAGCCUGGGAUGAUUGUGGGUCUGCAAAUAUCAUUAUAUUACAGCAUAGUAAUUGAUGUUCAUAAUGAUGACUACUACUCAUCAAGAAAAGGUUAAAUUACAUUUUGAAUACUCAGCUUUAGAAAGCAGAGAAGUGUGUAAUAGAUUUUAGCAAGGUUUCUAUCUAAAGUGGUUAAAACAAAAUAAAAAAAGCUAGUGCUUAAAGGACA